rnacentral:rRNA from 1 species
AUUGAACGCUGGCGGCAUGCCUUACACAUGCAAGUCGAACGGCAGCACGGGAGCAAUCCUGGUGGCGAGUGGCGAACGGGUGAGUAAUACAUCGGAACGUGCCCAAUCGUGGGGGAUAACGCAGCGAAAGCUGUGCUAAUACCGCAUGAGAUCUACGGAUGAAAGCAGGGGACCGCAAGGCCUUGCGCGAAUGGAGCGGC